CGACUCCUACGGGAGGCAGCAGCAAGGAAUUUUCCACAAUGGGCGAAAGCCUGAUGGAGCAACGCCGCGUGUGGGAUGACGCUUUUCGGAGUGUAAACCACUGUUCAUGGGGACGAAGCACUGACGGUACCCAUGGAGGAAGGCCCGGCUAACUACGUGCCAGCAGCCGCGGUAAUACGUAGGGGUCGAGCGUUGUCCGGAGUUACUGGGCGUAAAGCGCAUGCAGGCGGCUCAUUACGCAUGGCGUGAAAGCCCCCGGCUUAACCGGGGAGGGUCGUCGUGUACGGGUGAGCUUGAGGGUAUCAGGGGCUGGUGGAAUUCCCGGUGUAGUGGUGAAAUGCGUAGAGAUCGGGAGGAACACCUGUGGCGAAGGCGGCCAGCUGGGAUACACCUGACGCUGAGAUGCGAAGGCGUGGGGAGCGAACGGGAUUAGAUACCCCGGUAGUCCACGCAGUAAACGAUGCACACUAGGCGUGGGAGGACUUGACCCCUUCCGUGCCGGAGCAAACGCGAUAAGUGUGCCGCCUGGGGAGUACGGUCGCAAGACUAAAACUCAAAGGAAUUGACGG
rnacentral:rRNA from 1 species